UUAAAACUGGGGAUUCACACGUGUUCUAUUUGUACUUCACCGCCACCAGUGUAAUCCAAUCGGAUUAGGAUCAGUGUCGUUACUUCCUUCUUCUUUUGCUGCUCAUUUCCAUUGAUGUCCAUGUCGAGGCUGUCAUGAUAUUGUUCUGCAUCUAACUUCUCCGAGCAUCGGGUUCCGGCGAAGGAUGAAAUACAACUCGUAACUUGGCGGGGCAGCACAAAUGGUGUUGCAGCCAUGGCGGUGUUUGAUCUCCUUUCUCCGGUUCCAAACUUCCGAUCCAUUUUCCUUAAAACGCUUCCAUUUUCAAUUGAUUUAGAUCGUUCUGGUAGCGUUGCCUCUGAUUUCUUCCGAUCAUCUCUGUACACAUUCUGAUUUCUUCCGAUCAUCUCUUCCGAUUUCUUCCGAUUCCAAUCCUAUAAACAUUUCAACUGAACUGCAAAAAAAAACAUCGCAGGUAUCUUCUCUUUCUUUUUCAUCUUCAACGCCAUUUGACCCUGUUUCUAUGCUGUAAAUUCCCAAGAUUCCUUGAUUAUUUUCUCUUCCACAGGAAAGGGGCAAAGAGGGUAUUUGGCUAAAGCUCAUUUAGAGAUUGAGGGCAUGGCCUUAUGGAAUGAGAUGUCUUCUCUUCUGGAACGUCGUCCCACUACCAACUUUAAUUCACGGAGGUAAGUAUCGUGGCUUUUCAAGUUUCAUAGAUAUGAUCCUAUAUGCUUGCUUUGGUAUCCAGUGGGUUGUGCCUUGUCAGUAUUAAUCUGUUAUGUUAUGAAAUCAAAUAAGGAGGCUCAAAAUAUCACCACCCCAAUACAACUACUAAUAAGGACAUCAGAGCUCAAGCCUGAAAUAAAAGUCCAACAAUUGAAAUUAUUCCAAAACAGCAAGAAACUUUCAACAGUAAAACAGAUUGGUGACUUUUCAUUUAUUUGGUACCUCCCAAGGAGCAGGAACGUUGAACUUAAGUGGCUGUAUGGUAUAUUACAGUUACAAGGGAUUUAGAUUUAUUCCAGUUUUUAAAUCUUAUAUAUUUUUGAUAGAAAUGCAUUGAUGUGGGAUAACAGGGUAUAUCAGAUAAAAGUUUGCAAAUGGUUGGAGACAAUUAUCAGCAUCUGCACUUGCUAGAUAUCACUAGCUUUAAAGAUGAAGCUUAUAAGAACCUGUCACUCUUCAGCAAUCUUAGAUUCUUAGAUCUCUGUGUUGUGUUGUUCAGAAUAUAUCUAAUGAAGGCCAUUUCUCUAAAGCCAAAUGCAACAAUAUUCGUAUCCUCAAUUUGACAUGUUAGAUAUACAGCUAAGCUAUAAGAUGGAACUGUGUUUGAGAAAAAGGGUUUUGAUGGAGACACUCCAUUAAACUUCAUUACAGAUGAAGGUUAGUUAGUUACAUGAAAAAAAAUUUGUUCGUUGAAAAGACAUAAAUACCGUCUACAUUGUAUAUAUGUGACAACCGUCAAUUUCCGGUCAAGUCAAAGUCAACUAAAGUCAACAAGUCAAACCGGUCAGCUCAAAUAACCCUUAUGUACUACGGUUUAUGUUAGGUAAUUACUAUACAACUCGCUGUUCUAAUGAGAAAUCAUAAAUUGAAAAGUACGUACAUCUAGAUUUCCUUAACCUAAAACUGUGGUAAGUAACAAACCAAACCGAUAAAACAAUGUUGCAUACUCAUCGGGAGUGUGUAAGAUCCUUAAACAUGGUUUAACGGGGUUUACGUACCUUGCGUUGCGAAGCCGGACACUCACAAAUGUCACACACGAAACCUCUCUCAAUCGUUUUCACUCUAUCUCUCUUUAUCGAGAUUCUAUCCUAAAUCUCUCCAAGAAGGAGGAAUCUCUCCCAAAUCUCUCUCCAUAUGAGAAAUCUCUCCAAGUAUGUGAAAUCUCGCCUAAAUCUCUCCACGUAUGUCAAAUCUCUCCCAAAUCUCUUUCUAUAUGAGAAAUCUCUCCAAGUAUGAGAAAUCUCUCCCACAUCUCUCCACGUAUGUGAAAUCUCCCAAAUAUCUCUUAAAAGUUCCUUAAACUUUUUGUAGUCUUUUGGGCCAUCCCGACCCUUAACCAGGUCGAAAACCGCUUAAAACGGGGCAAAAACGGAUAAAAAGGACUUAAGGACCCGAAACCCCUCUUAAGGAGCCGAACCCUCUUAAGGACCCGAAACCCCUCUUAGGAACCGAACUUGUCAGAAGCGAACUUGUCAGAAGCAAACUACACCCCUCGGACCGAAGGCUCGCAUAGACCAAACCCGAAGGUCCCUUCGGACCAAACCUCCCUUCGGACCGAGCCUUCCAUUCACUUUCGCUCCAUUUCGCUUUCGGCCCAGCAGCAGAAGGGACCGAACCUCGGCCCAAUACCGAGAGGUCUCGCAGGGAAGCCCAUUUCUUCCCGGUUUUCGAUUCCAACUUCGUUUUGGCUUCGUUUUUCAUCGUUUUAACGUGGGAUUUUCACCAAAAACUUUAUUUUGUCAAUUAAAGCCCCAUAAUUCAUUAAUUCCCACGUUUUUGGUGCAAAUCUUAUCCAAGAAAUGAGUGGGUGAAGUACAAAGGUUGAGUGUUGACUUUGCUUUACCUUAUGACACAAGCAACCACCCCCACACCCACUCUAUGACCAGCCACAUCUCCCCACCUUACCUAGGUCACUUUAAUGUCUUUUCCACUCAUUUACCAGCCCCCCCCCCCCCCCCCCCCCCCCCCCCCCCCCCCACACACACACACACGUCCUUAGGGAUGGAACAUCCAUCCUCUCUCCUCACUUCUCUCAUUUGCUCUCAUUUCACCAAAGGUCCAACUCCACUUUUCUCUCAAACUUUCUCUCUCAAAUUCGAGAUUCCAAGGCUGAUCAUCAAGUGUUCUCCCACUCUUGGUAAGUAUAAUUCAUCCUCCUUGUGAUUAAUACACUUCAUUCUACUCCAAUCAUCGAUUUCUUACACAAACUCCAUCACUUUGAUGUUAGAUUCUCAAAAAUCUUCAAGACAUCUUCAAGUGUUCUUAAGUUGAACACUUCCUUUCUCCAACAUUCAUCUACUGGAAUCACAUAAGUGAGUUUAUACUCCUAUAUUUUCAUGUUUUCUUAAGUUUUAAGGGGGGGGGGGGGGGGGGGGGGGGGGAAUACAAGUUAAAACACCAAGAACACAACUAAACUUAUUUAACAGCCUUCAUCAGAAAAAUUCAACUCCAUUCACGGACUGUUUUGGGCAAUUUAAACAAUUUAGUUUUCAAAACUGUUUUAGGUGCAAGUAGUUCCAGUUCUUAGCUUUAAAAUGACUACUUGCACAUCUCCAUACGAUUUUUCUACAAUUUAUGGUGAUUUUUACAAAACUGCCUAUCGUUUCAAGAGCAAAUCCGGACCAGUCUAUGAUUAUGAACAUUUUAACACAAGUUAAAGGCUUCCAAAAAUCAUGAUAAAAAUUAUGAACAAACUAGACACAUUUUAGGAACUCCCAGAAUUUAUGGAUUCACUUUUCGAUUUCGUAUGAUUUUUCUAAAACAGUGCAGAAAGGUUAAAAACUAGUUAACAGCUUAUAACUUUUAUAACAUUUUGUAUUAUGUUGAACAAAGUGUAUAACAAUAAGUUCUAAAUAUUGAAUGUGUUUUCCUCGUUAGUUUAUCAUCAUAACUGAAAUUUAGCCAUUCAUGAUAAGAUUCUUCAUUCAUUUAGAACACAUAUAUUAAGCUAUAAUAAGCAUAGUUUAUGGAUUCGUAGCACUAAUGUGUUUUCAUAAAAGAGUUCUUAUACAUUACAAACGUUUUGGAUAAACUAUAAUAGGUAUAGUUUAUGUAUCAUUUACUUUUCAAACUUAUUUAUCAAAGAUUUUCAGUUUAGUUCACGUAAAUCUGUUAAUGAAUAAAUUUGUGAGUCAUUCGCUUCGGGUUACUUCCAAAGUAACAAAGUCAAAAAAUCCUGUAAAUUGUAACUAGAGUCUCUUGUAGAGAGAACGUGAUAGUUGUGUAUAGAUCUAUAUUGGGUUUGACAAACCCACACCUGAGCUGCUUGCAACAGCUAGACCGACAGGUCUGUGGUGACAAGUGUCAUUUAACGGCGACGUCUGAAGAACGUCGUAUUACGAGGCCGUCUAUGUCAAGUAUGGUUAUGAUAGCUCACAUGUGGUAUUAACAAAUCAUAAGAUUUACAGGUUCUAACUUUAAAUUAGCGAGUUAUGUCAAUUUAACUCACAUAAAUUACCUUAAGUAUGGAAAAAUACUUGUACGCCUUCAUAUCAAAAAGGGUUUUAUGUCGAUUUAAAAUCACUUUUUACACCAAUAAUUACAUAUUUUAUUGUAUACUUUCGGUCUUGGUAUUUAAGACUACACAUCAUUCAUUACGGGAUUCUUCUCAAACUAAAAAGGGUUUUACGCCAAUUUAAAACCAGUUUUAUAUCUUUAAGUAUUACAAAUACUUGUUCAUUCCCGGUCCUGGUAUUUAGGACCACAUAACUUUUAUAAGGAAAAUAUUGGAUUUUUCUUGGUAACAUACAACUCAUUACAAAGAUCGAUUUUCAAACUCUUACUAUCAAAAGCUUAUGAACUCACCAACCUAUGUGUUGACACUUUUUCAAAACUACUUGUAUUCUUAGGAAUUCAGUGAAACAGAAAAUCAACAGCGUUUUGAGGAUGGGACGAUAAAUCGUCAAACAGUUCAUUUUGUUAUCAUAAUAUAAUUGAUUUGAAUCAUGUAAACAUAUACUUUGGUGUAACUUUUUCAAUUAUAUUUAUGAUGGUUGUAUUUACUUUGAGCACUAUUAUACUCGUUGUUGUGAUACUAUACAUGAAGUCCUCCACCCCCGGAUGUUUCCGCCAUCCUUGGUUUGGGGGUGUGACAGAUUGGUAUCAGAACAUUGUUUAUAGUGAACUAAGUAUAUCGAACCAUAUAAGAUAUACAAACUAUAAAUGCAUUGGGACUAAGGUCUCUGAUUUAAAGUUUUCAAAACAACUAUACUUUUAGAAAUAAAUAGUUUCUUGUUAAAAGUAUACAUGCAUGCAUACAUACUAAGGUCAGCAGCAUUCUAGAACAAAACAAAAGUAAUGAUUGUUGAAUAUCACAGGCAAGCUCAGGGAUGUAUGGUCAGUCUUGGGAGUGGCAUAGCCUGAUCAACUAUGUUGGUCCGAGGAGUGAUUAGCACAUGCCCAAGAAUAGUUGUGAUAUGGCGACAAGUCUAUAAACUUACCAACACUACCACAAUGAGAACAUUAGAACAGAACAUGAGUUUAAAAUACUAUAGGAGUAUUUUGUAAUAUCAUAACUUAUAUGAAAACUAACUAGAUCCUUAAUAAUAGGUCUAUAGUCACUAAAUGGAUACUCUAAGGUUAUAUAUAACUUAGAAAUCAUAGACUUAGAAUUUGUGGUCAUUGCCUUACUUCCUUUUCCUUGUUUGGAUGUGGACAUAGGGUAGGAUCACUUAUUCGAAGGUCUAUCAUAUCUUGUUAUAUGUAAUUAGUAUGCACUAUGUCAUUAUAGAAGUAACUAAUAAGGAUCACCCCUAUAAGUAAUUAAUUAUAGAGUUAGACGCCUAGUAAUUAUCUCUUCCACUCUUAUUCUCGCAUGUACAACAUAGCAAGAUCCUACUUACCGGGCGACCCCUACUUUCCCAAUCCGAACCCGAGAAACGGUGAAUGGUUAUGAGAAGAAUCAGAAACGGAACUGGAGGUAAUCAAUCCUCCAUGCAUAACAAGGGUUUCCGCGAACCGUUUCGACUACAUCGAACCUGUGCCCCGUUGGGCAACCGUGAUCGAGGGUUGAAUGUCGACAGCAAUGACAGCAACCACCAUGUGGAGACUGACGAGGGUGCUAUGACCUCAACCAUGGGGGACCGACUGACAGAGCCCUCCCAGCGAAGACCCGGCAGAUCGCGAACAUCGGGGAUUAAAACAGGAAGACGACAACCCGAGUUCGGAAAUUGCGCGCUACUACAGACCCUACUGUCUCACGUACCCGAGACUCGGAGAUAGACUACUAUUUCAGAGGCCAACAUUCUUUUUAGAACCUUAUCGCAGCUCGGGUAGAGGCAAGAGAGUAACAGGAUAGACACACGACAUCCUAAGAGAGGAGGAUUGCAGCCAAGCAUUGAUUGGCAGAACUACAAGGUGCAUCGACUUUGCCUCAGGCAUCGCAAGGGACGCAUCAUCGUGAGUAGAGUUCAUACCGCUCACAAGACCUCGUAAAAUAGGUUCAUGAGUAUGUGUUGGUGCUACUCUAUUCUAGGCGUAAGCACGACAUUGCGAUUUAAGCGGUCAUACUAAUCGAGAGAUCUAGUUGCCAUCAAAACUUUUCCUUGCAUGGAUGUGAGACAGACCUGCAUCGAGGUCAAAAAUGUUUGCUGAGACCACAAUUACUAGAAUCAUAUUAACAAGAUGGGCUUAGGACCUAGCUUGGGUCAAAUUACAAGGUUUCACUUGGAUACAGAACUACUAAAACACAUGAGUUUAUCAUAUAAAGACUCUCGUUAUGAACUGUUUACAGAACACCCUUAACAACUGAAUUACGUUACAAAUUGAUAUAAGAUAAACUUAGUUAGAAAGCUUGCGAUGUAUAGUCAUCCUAAAAACUCAUUUCCGUCUCACCUUUAAACACCUUGGUUGAGAGGUGCCUUCUUCGUAGACCUAUAGGGUGCGAUCAUACCAACGCUAAUGCACCGGAUCCCAUCAAAACUCCUCAGCUAAGUGUGUUUGAACAAACAUGAUCUUAAGAUGAGUAAAUCUUAAAACGCCCGUAUGAAACCUACUUCUACCCACUACCAUAACUCUGUCUCAGGAACGUUAGCAGAAACACCGAGAAUAGUUCAGUAAAGUGAGAAAUUUAUAUAUGUGUAUAUAAAUGGUAAGGAUAUAACUAGAGAUAAUCGUCCCUACUCACGACAUCUUUUCUCCUCAUGCAACAUGAUUAUGUCUUCACAAGACGGUAACCAGCCAACUAGCAAAGCGCCAACCCUGCAGAUAGACUCUGCUACUUUUCAAGCUGCAGUCACGGUAGCCAUGACAGCCGUCAUGGCGCAACUCAAUGCUAACAACGCCAGUAGAGAUGGGAGCGGUACCGACAAUACAGAUUGUUGUAUCAAUCAGGAACACCGGCAGGUAUCUGCCAACGAAGGCGCCUCAGGCCACAAACCUACGAAUAAGAAGCGAAAGUUUUGGGACAAAAAGAAGUGUAACCUACCUCAAGAAUUCGCUGGAAGAAAGCAAUUCGUGGCUGCACUUGCCAUUACAACAACAGUUACGACACAUGCCUCGACACUAGUCACGGGGUCUGCCACCCAAACGCCGACCAGACCAUAUAAGGGAUCACUCCUAAAGUGUAACCAAUGCGGCUUCCAUCACAAUGGGGUUGGCCUAGUGAUGCACUGUAAAAACUGCGACAAGAAUGGACAUACGGCCCGCUACUGCAGAAACCAAACCUAGCACCUCUCUUCAAUCACCGGCACCAAGGUAGGACCAGUAUGCUUCCUAUGCGGUGAAACGGGACACUUCAAGAGAGAAUGUCCAACCGAGAAGAAUGACGGGGGAGCAGGAGAAGUGUGAUGAACACACCAGCAGGAGCAACAAGGGGACCAUAUUAGGACUUUUGUAAUGUUUCCAACAACAAAAACGUUUAAGUACCAUAUGUUUGUAACGAAUUUGGUAUGCUUGCUAAAAUCACCGUCUUUCUAAAAGUAGUUAAAAUACUCUCUCGUUCAAAUCAAACCAAAGACACUCAUAUAUGACCUUAGGAUCAUCACCUGUAAGCUGUGAUGACUUUUUAUAUACAUCGGGGUUAAUUAUAAUCAAAAUACUAAAGACUUGAAACAAAUAAUUCUAACCUGACUCAUGUUCCAUGUCUAGUAGUGGGAAUUGAGUGGAGCCACCCACUCGACGAUUUCACAAAUAUCAAAUUACAGACGACGUACAUAUACCGCUCGAUCACAAAGUGACCUGUUGGGGAUCAUGAUAUCAAGUAUCAUUACUAGCUAUCGAAACACGCCCACUACCAGUGCUAGACACUGUGGUACGAAUCAUCUACAGUAAUAAUAACAUCGAACAAAACGGAACACACUGAAAAGAAACACAAGAUACUCUAUCACUCUAAUAAGCACUUCUUACGAAUACAACUUAACACAUGUUUUAUCUAAAAAGAUACUGAUGUCACCAUUCAAUUUCGAUUGGUAUAGUCCUCAUCUUCCCGGUUUAACGGCUACGAAAGGAUCCUUCACCUAACCCACUGAAUAUCGAAACCUUUGGGGGUGUGACAAUAUAAGGGUAACCUGGUCAUUUGGUAGGAAACGGGUCCAUGGGAGAUGGAUGUUCAUGAAAGAAUCGAAGCAGCUGGGAGGAAGAAAGAAGAAGGAAAUAUUCUUUGUAGGUGCUUUCAAUUCACCAAUCUGUUUUACUGUUGAAAGUUUCUUGCUGUUUUGGAAUAAUUUCAAUUGUUGGACUUUUAUUUUAGGCUUGAAUUCUGAUGUCCUUAUUAGUAGUUGUAUUGGGGUGCUGAUAUUUUGAGCCUCCUUAUUUGAUUUCAUAUUGCUGAAUUUCUGAUACUGAGGGAUGUGAACGUUGUACAGGCAAUCUUCUCUAUAAGAUACACUACAAAGAAAAGCAUCCGAACAUCAAAUUUGUGUCUAUUCCUAACGACCCCUUCAUGUUCAUUGGAGCUGCAAUCUUCUCCCCUUUCCCCAGGACUCAGCAUCAUUAGAUACACUUGGGAAGGCAAGAAAACCUGCGGAAUGAAUCAUUAAAUGUAUUUCACACAAUGCAGCAAAAAAUCACCCAUAUUCAAACCUUGUAGCUUAUUGUUUCAUAGUUGGCACCCUUGGAGAAGCAGGUGAUGUGAGAGAACUUUUUCAGUGAUCAGGGGCGGAUCUGUAAGUCGAUAAGGGUAUUUUCUACUUAUUUCAAAUAAAGUAGUAUGGAAAUUUGGAAUUUACACAAUAUUUGAGAGGUUUUUCUGUUGCACUUCCUGUUUACUUUGCAACACAAAUGGUUCAUUAUUUUAUAGCAUACAACAUAUUUGACAAUUAUACAUUUGUAAACGGGCGAAUGUACUAUACUUUCACAAAAAGACGACACAUUCCAACCCCCGAAACGCGGGGACACCUUUUUAGUUGUUAUUAUUAUUGUUAUUAUUUUAAUAUAAAAUAAAUUAUUAUUAAAUUAAAAGUAAAACAAUGGGGACAAUAUGAUCAUUUUUUGUCUUUAUUGGUAAAGGACAUUACAUGCAAACUUAAAAAAGAAUGAGGGAUGAAACAUGUAUGUUUCAAACAAGUGAGGAACGAUCUAAGUUAAUUUUUAAAAAUAAUGAUUAAACGUGCAUUUUGGCAUAUAUAUGAGGGACGUUUGGUGUAAUUUUUUUUAAACGAGAGAACUAUGCAACUUCUUAAAAUCUAUCUACAGUACACUUGUUUUAAAUAAUGGAAUUAUGCAACUUCUUAAAAUCUAGGGAUAACGAUUUAAAAGGAUAAUAUAUUUUUCGAUUUGUACACUAAAUGGUCACUGAGAUUUUUUUUUUCAUCCACAUUUACCUCUUCAACUUGUUAAACCGUACAUAUUCAGUCCUAAUGACCGACUACUCCAAGUUAACCGGUAAAAAUGACCGGCUAUUCUAGGUUAGUCCUUAAUACUUUUGUGCACAUUUAGUCCUUAAUAUUUUUUUUUGUUGCAAAAUAAGUCAUUUUUAUUUUUGUACUCAGUCAGUAUUUAUGAAUGAUUUAUUUAGGUUUUUCUCACGACAUCUUACGUGGGAAAAUCAUUAAUGAGAUGUUUGAGAUUUUUGAUGUUUAUGUCCAUCGCAAUCUCGACUACUUGGUUGCUUAUGUCAUGUGUUCUGAGCAUUAUAACUUCUUCAUAUGAUUUCGGAUUUUAACGAUCUUUAUAUCGAUCUGUUUAUAGUUUAGUCUAGUACAAUUUUCUUUUAGCUUGCUCUCGUUAAAAAAUUGUAGUAGAGUCAAAAAACAAACGCGUAGAUAUAAAGAUUGGUAAAAAUUUGGUUUUAAUUUGUUUAGACAAUUUGAGGGUCCCGAUGUUAUUGAUAGCCAUACUUGAUGCAGUUGUUGGAAACCAAUUUCAAGGAAGAACACAUAAACGUUGCAUUACCAAAGGAUGAUCAAAAUUUUGGUUUUUCUCUUUUACUUUCGGUAUCAAAAUUUAACAAAUUACAAAUGUGAGUUAUGGUUCUUUAUGUUAGAAUACAUUUAUGCCUCUUUAUUUUGGAAGAAAUUUUAAGGAUUACUUUAUUUACUUCUUUACUUAUUUACCUGUGAUUUUGUUGAAUACUAAUUUAGCAUGGAUUUUUUUUAACCUUUAUGAAAGUGAAAUUCCUUUAAAAUGGAGCUGGUAUUGUGCGGCCACUGGCUUACACUCCUGAUGACAGAACCUGUUUCGGUUAAUUUCAGUUGAAAUGAAGAGAAAAAUCACGACUUCAGUUUGGACAUUAAGAAAUUUUAUUUAUUAUGCUAUUGAAUCAAGGUGAGGAAUUUAGUAUCUUAAUUAUAUCUUUUAAGAGGAAACAUCUCAACAUGAAGUGAUUUGUUUGUUGAUUGUGUUAUGCACCCUAACAAUAGAGAGAAAUAUUAUAAGUUUGGGUUUAGGUUCAUGUAUAUAUUCAGUUUAUUAUUA